rnacentral:rRNA from 1 species
AUUGAACGCUGGCGGCAGGCCUAACACGUGCACGUCGAGCGGAGCGGCCGACGGGUGAGUAAUGCCUCGGAGUCGGCCUGCUCGUGGGGGAUAACUUCCUGAAACGGGCGCUAAUUCCUCAUCCUCUCAGAUGAGUCUAUGGCGGAUUGGCUAGGUGGUGGGGUAAGGGCUUACCAAGGCGACGAUCCGUAACUGGUCUGAGAGGAUGAUCAGUCACACUGGAACUGAGACACGGUCCAGACUCCUACGGGAGGCAGCAGUGGGGAAUAUUGCACAAUGGGCGAAAGCCUGAUCCAGCCAUGCCGCGUGUAUGAAGAAGGUCUUCGGAUUGUAAAGCACUUUAAGUUGGGAGGCGUUACCAACAGAAGAAGCACCGGCUAACUUAGUGCCAGCAGCCGCGGUAAUAC